UUAAUUUUUAACGGCCGCAGUACUUUGACUGUGCUAAGGUAGCGUAAUCAGUUGGCUUUUAAAUGGAGUCGAGAAUGAAAGGGUUUUCGGGAAUUAGCUGUCUCUAUUAAAUUGGAUCUAACUUGCUUAAGGAGUGAAAAUUCUCCUAGUAAGAAAAAAGACGAGAAGACCCUAAGAGUUUUCACUAAGCUAUAUUUUUUAUUAAGAAGUUUUUGCUGGGGCGGCAAAGAGACAAUGUAAACCCUCUUACUUAAUUUUUAGUAGACGUCUAUGUAAAGAAACAAUAAACUACCUUAGGGAUAACAGCAUAAUUUAAUUUAAGUUUGUGACCUCGAUGUUGGAUUAGGGACUUUAUGGCUAGCAGUCUUAAAAGCGGGUUCUGUUCGAACCUUUU
rnacentral:rRNA from 1 species